AGGAGCGAAGCCUAGCAGCGACCGCUGCACGCUCUCUCCGAUUACGCGAAAACACCGGAGCAGUGGGAGACAGGAAGCAAGAAGGUGGAGAGCUCCCCAGCAUGCAUCGGUGGAUUCGGAAAGUAGAAGAGACACGGCCGCAUACUGCGUGCGUGCGCGAGUCUAUGCGCGUACGUGCAUGUGUGUGCGCUAGUGCGUACGUCCGAGUGUUAGUGCGUGCAUGAGGGUGUGAGUUUAUAUGCGGUUAUGAGGCGAUGUUCCACUGCUGUCUGUUCGUCUCUCUCGUCACUGAACAAUUCACAGAGUAGCUGGUAGACACUUCUGUGAAGUGAGUAACCAAUUGAGGGGUAUAUCGAAUGAGAAAUGCGCCUGCGAUUGCGUGUGAGCAUACUGCGUUAGAGUCGAGUGCGACUCCUUGUAACAGCACGAACCGGGAACUGCCUGCUGUGUGUAUGUAGCUAGUAAAAAUUUUUUUUAUAAAUUAUCAAAAUUAAUAUUAUUAAAAUAAGUUUAUAAAGUCGUUAGCGGCGUCCCGGGUGGCAGGGCAACUGCGCAAAAUUACCUAGUGAAUAAAACCUGCAGCGAAUGUGGGGUUGUACAGUACACCAA